AAACAUUUCUAUACUCAUCUGCCUUCACAUUCAGCGUUGAACCUCUUACACCAGGUUCGAACUACGCAGACUUGAUCUCCUCUUCAAUAGGAGUACGUAGGCAGCCAUUUAUGGUUCAGUCUAACCCCUACUAGAACAAAAAUACUUGUCACACGGUAUUGGGAUCAACCUUCAAUCCACCACAUUACAUCGGCUUCAGACCAAGGGGAUGGAAUUACCCAACCUCUCCU
rnacentral:lncRNA from 1 species